rnacentral:rRNA from 1 species
AUGUGCUCGGACAGGAAAGAAUGGAACGAGCCACUAGUAAGGCAAAUUUUUCACUCCUUUGAUGCAGAUGAGAUCUGCAAAAUCCCCAUCCCGAGGGUGGAUGCCACGGACUGCAUCGCGUGGCAUUAUGAAAAGAGUGGCAAUUUUUCAGUCAGGAGUGCAUACAAACUUGCGGCUGCCAUCGAAGGUCAUACGAACUUGGCUCCCUCCAGCUCGUCUAGCGCCAGCAAUGACCGUAGCAUAUGGGACUUGAUCUGGAAGGCGAAAGUACCCCCCAAAGUCAGGAUUUUAGGUUGGAGGGUAGCAACUAAUGCCCUAGCAACCCAGCGCAAUAAGUUCAGACGAACCAUCAUUCAGGAUGGUACCUGCAUCAUUCGUGGUACAGCAGCAGAGGACGAGCAUCAUGCGGUGAUUAACUGUACUAAAAGUAGAGCUCUGAGGCAGGCCAUGAGGGAAGUUUGGGAUCUCCCUCCAGAGAAAAGCUUCUGCUACACGGGUCGCGACUAGUUACAGAUACUUUUGGACACGGCGUCAGAUGAUCUACGUGCUAAAAUACUCUUUCUUCUUUGUAGAUGUUGGCACUUGCGAGAUGAUUGUGUCCAUGCAGGGGGCAAGGAGUCA